rnacentral:rRNA from 1 species
GAUGAACGCUGGCGGCGUGCCUAAUACAUGCAAGUCGAGCGAACAGACGAGGAGCUUGCUCCUCUGACGUUAGCGGCGGACGGGUGAGUAACACGUGGAUAACCUACCUAUAAGACUGGGAUAACUUCGGGAAACCGGAGCUAAUACCGGAUAACAUGUUGAACCGCAUGGUUCAACAGUGAAAGACGGUCUUGCUGUCACUUAUAGAUGAAUCCGCGCCGCAUUAGCUAGUUGGUAAGGUAACGGCUUACCAAGGCAACGAUGCGUAGCCGACCUGAGAGGGUGAUCGGCCACACUGGAACUGAGACACGGUCCAGACUCCUACGGGAGGCAGCAGUAGGGAAUCUUCCGCAAAGGGCGAAAGCCUGACGGAGCAACGCCGCGUGAGUGAUGAAGGUCUUCGGAUCGUAAAACUCUGUUAUUAGGGAAGAACAAAUGUGUAAGUAACUAUGCACGUCUUGACGGUACCUAAUCAGAAAGCCACGGCUAACUACGUG